UACGUAGGGGGCAAGCGUUGUCCGGAAUCAUUGGGCGUAAAGCGCGUGUAGGCGGUUCGAUAAGUCUGCUGUGAAAGUCCAGGGCUCAACCCUGGGAUGCCGGUGGAUACUGUCGGGCUAGAGUACGGGAAGAGGCGAGUGGAAUUCCCGGUGUAGCGGUGAAAUGCGCAGAUAUCGGGAGGAACACCAAUUGCGAAGGCAGCUCGCUGGGACGUCACUGACGCUGAGACGCGAAAGCGUGGGGAGCAAACAGGG
rnacentral:rRNA from 1 species